rnacentral:rRNA from 1 species
CACGUAGGGCGCAAGCGUUGUCCGGAAUUAUUGGGCGUAAAGAGCUCGUAGGCGGUCUGUUGCGUCUGCUGUGAAAACUCGGGGCUUAACCCCGAGCCUGCAGUGGAUACGGGCAGACUAGAGGUAGGUAGGGGAGAAUGGAAUUCCCGGUGUAGCGGUGAAAUGCGCAGAUAUCGGGAGGAACACCGGUGGCGAAGGCGGUUCUCUGGGCCUUACCUGACGCUGAGGAGCGAAGCGUGGGGAGCGAACAGG